GGCGGGACGCCCGCACCAGCGGCAAAGGGCAGCGGCGGCGGCGGCAGCGGCAGGACAGGCAACGCUGGUGGCGGGAAGAAGCCUGAGACAUCAACCUAUGAAGACUGUGAAGACAAUCCUGAGUAGUAUUUGUGAAUUGUGUUGCUGAUAGACUUGUUUGUUCUGCAGAGCAUCUGUAGUGAAUCUCAUUGAUUGUUUUUAUUGGCCCAGAGCCAAAACUACUGGAUUCGGUUGACUUCAGGAUUAAAAGAAAACAGUCUUGGUUAUUACUAUAAACAUAUGAACCACUGUGAUGGUGAAAUGAGAUGAGGCUCCGAAAUGGAACUGUAGCCACUGCUUUAGCAUUUAUCACUUCGUUCCUUACUUUAUCUUGGUAUACUACAUGGCAAAAUGGGAAAG